CGAAUAGAGCGAAUCACCGUCGAGAUCGUAGAGGCAUCGCAGUACCAAAUCUGAGCCGCGUUGUACGUGACUGGGUACGACCAUCUGCGUGAUGACCAGAGCGUCACCUGCGUUCAACAGCCACACCAUGUUUUAGCACAUUCCGAAUUUUAUCGGUGCUGAACAACUUGGUCAUGGGUAAACCGAACAGGGCAUUUCGGUAAAUCAUUUUUUAGGCCAGGGCACUACAACUAGACAUAAUAGGGACAGGUCUAUCCACUCCACAUAGGAAUGGUUAGAAUUGAUUGAAAGGACAAAAUUUAAAAAAAACCGAAAAUGCUGUACAAAAGGCUUGUCUAAAAAGCAACGGAAUAAGGGCUAUCGAAGGAAAGUUGCUCAAAGAACGAAAAGGAUGACAGUUGCGAGAAAAUGAAAUCCACAGAAUUCGAAACCUGAAUGAUUGAAAAAGAUAUCCCCGAAAAAAAAAAGAGGGUGCAAAAGAAAUGCGACAGAACAUCGCCUCCCAAAAGUUAUAGACAUGCGUGAUUGAAAUGUUGAACUUACAUUUGUAGCUGACGUAGAGAAUGACGGAAGAGACUACGAUGAAGACGGACGAAGGGCUUGAGAUUUUCUUCUUCAUUUUUUGUUAUGUGUGUGUUAAACUUUGAUACUUUUUCACUUGUGCACAAUAUGAGUUUUCUUUUUCUUU
rnacentral:lncRNA from 1 species